GACGAACGCUGGCGGCGUGCUUAACACAUGCAAGUCGAGCGGAAAGGCCACUUCGGUGGUACUCGAGCGGCGAACGGGUGCGUAACACGGGAGUAAUCUGCCCCUGGCUUUGGGAUAGCCACCGGAAACGGUGAGUAAUACCGGAUACGACCACUUCUCGCAUGGGCUGGUGGUGGAAAGUCUUUCGGCCAGGGAUGUGCCAGCGGCCUAUCAGCUUGAUGGUGAGGUAAUGGCUCACCAUGGCUUCGACGGGUAGCCGGCCUGAGAGGGUGACCGGUCACACUGGGACUGAGAAACGGCCCAGACUCCUACGGGAGGCAGCAGUGGGGAAUAUUGGACAAUGGGCGGAAGCCUGAUCCAGCAACGCCGCGUGAGGGAUGACGGCCUUCGGGUUGUAAACCUCUUUCAGCAGGGACGAAGCGCAAGUGACGGUACCUGCAGAAGAAGCACCGGCCAACUACGUGCCAGCCGCCGCGGUAA
rnacentral:rRNA from 1 species